rnacentral:rRNA from 1 species
CGUGUGGUUCUAUUUUGUUGGUUUCUAGGACCGCCGUAAUGAUUAAUAGGGACAGUCGGGGGCAUCAGUAUUCAAUUGUCAGAGGUGAAAUUCUUGGAUUUAUUGAAGACUAACUACUGCGAAAGCAUUUGCCAAGGAUGUUUUCAUUAAUCAGGAACGAAAGUUAGGGGAUCGAAGACGAUCAGAUACCGUCGUAGUCUUAACCAUAAACUAUGCCGACUAGGGAUCGGACGAAGUUAUUUUUUGACUCGUUCGGCACCUUACACGAAAGUAUAAGUUUCUGGGUUCUGGGGGGAGUAUGGUCGCAAGGCUGAAACUUAAAGAAAUUGACGGAAGGGCACCACCAGGGGUGGAGCCUGCGGCUUAAUUUGACUCAACACGGGGAAACUC